UACGGAGGGUGCAAGCGUUGUCCGGAUUUAUUGGGUUUAAAGGGUGCGUAGGCGGCUAAUUAAGUCAGUGGUGAAAUACAGCCGCUCAACGGUUGAGGUGCCAUUGAUACUGAUUAGCUUGAGUACAGUGGAGGCUGCCGGAAUGGAUGGUGUAGCGGUGAAAUGCAUAGAUAUCAUCAAGAACACCGAUUGCGAAGGCAGCUUACUAGGCUUUAACUGACGCUGAGGCACGAAAGCGUGGGGAGCAAAC
rnacentral:rRNA from 1 species